rnacentral:rRNA from 1 species
UACGUAGGGGGCAAGCGUUGUCCGGAAUCAUUGGGCGUAAAGAGCGCGUAGGCGGCCCUGUAAGUCCGCUGUGAAAGUCAAGGGCUCAACCCUUGGAUGCCGGUGGAUACUGCAGGGCUAGAGUCCGGAAGAGGCGAGUGGAAUUCCUGGUGUAGCGGUGAAAUGCGUAGAUAUCAGGAGGAACACCGGUGGCGAAGGCGGCCCUCUGGACGGUGACUGACGCUGAGACGCGAAAGCGUGGGGAGCAAACAGG